rnacentral:rRNA from 1 species
AGAAGAUCCGAGGUAACGAUAACAACGCAGAUGGUAGGUGUCGUGAUGGUCGAGCUGGCGUAAGAUACAUGAGUGGAGUUGAUCCUUGCUCAGAUGGACGCUGCGGCAGCUUAACACAAUGCAAGUCGAGCGGGGAAGGUGAGCUUCGCUACCUGACCUAGCGACGGACGGGUGAGUAAUGCUUAGGAAUCUGCCUAUUAGUGGGGGACAACAUUCCGAAAGGAAUGCUAAUACCGCAUACGUCCUACGGGAGGAAAGCAGGGGAUCUUCGGACCUUGCGCUAAUAGAUGAGCCUAAGUCGGAUUAGCUAGUUGGUGGGGUAAAGGCCUACCAAGGCGACGAUCUGUAGCGGGUCUGAGAGGAUGAUCCGCCACACUGGGACUGAGACACGGCCCAGACUCCUACGGGAGGCAGCAGUGGGGAAUAUUGGACAAUGGGCGGAAGCCUGAUCCAGCCAUGCCGCGUGUGUGAAGAAGGCCUUUUGGUUGUAAAGCACUUUAAGCGAGGAGGAGGCUCCUUUAGUUAAUACCUAAAGUGAGUGGACGUUACUCGCAGAAUAAGCACCGGCUAACUCUGUGCCAGCAGCCGCGGUAAUACAGAGGGUGCGAGCGUUAAUCGGAUUUACUGGGCGUAAAGCGUGCGUAGGCGGCUUUUUAAGUCGGAUGUGAAAUCCCUGAGCUUAACUUAGGAAUUGCAUUCGAUACUGGAAAGCUAGAGUAUGGGAGAGGAUGGUAGAAUUCCAGGUGUAGCGGUGAAAUGCGUAGAGAUCUGGAGGAAUACCGAUGGCGAAGGCAGCCAUCUGGCCUAAUACUGACGCUGAGGUACGAAAGCAUGGGGAGCAAACAGGAUUAGAUACCCUGGUAGUCCAUGCCGUAAACGAUGUCUUCGUAACCGUUGGGGCCUUUGAGGCUUUAGUGGCGCAGCUAACGCGAUAAGUAGAACCGCCUGGGGAUUAUCCGA